GGUGAACGCUGGCGGUAGGCCUAACACAUGCAAGUCGAACGGCAGCACAGUAAGAGCUUGCUCUUACGGGUGGCGAGUGGCGGACGGGUGAGGAAUACAUCGGAAUCUACUUUUUCGUGGGCGAUAACGUAGGGAAACUUACGCUAAUACCGCAUACGACCUACGGGUGAAAGCAGGGGAUCUUCGGACCUUGCGCGAUUGAAUGAGCCGAUGUCGGAUUAGCUAGUUGGCGGGGUAAAGGCCCACCAAGGCGACGAUCCGUAGCUGGUCUGAGAGGAUGAUCAGCCACACUGGAACUGAGACACGGUCCAGACUCCUACGGGAGGCAGCAGUGGGGAAUAUUGGACAAAGGGCGCAAGCCUGAUCCAGCCAUACCGCGUGGGUGAAGAAGGCCUUCGGGUUGUAAAGCCCUUUUGUUGGGAAAGAAAAGCAGCAGGUUAAUACCCCGCUGUUCUGACGGUACCCAAAGAAUAAGCACCGGCUAACUUCGUG
rnacentral:rRNA from 1 species